UAUUGAAAAGAUGGUCAGCGAGAAUGGGCUAUCUAAUUAAGGAAUUAGACACCAGGGCAUAAUCCAACACACACAAUCAACCAGAACCCAAUACAAACCCGAUACACACACCCACAUUAUCAACCAGCAUUUGAGCUGUCCUCAAAGGUAGGCUGCUUAACGCAUUAGUGGAUGAACUGCAUUCCAAUGUCCACACAAAGACAAUGCAAUAUAAAACUACAAGGAAGAACACAACCAUCUGAAUCACUUCCACGUAGCUGGGCACAUUUGGUUGGUUUUAUUGGAAGUUCAUUUUUUUCCGUCCAGGUGUCACUUCAACAAACACACAAUCAACCAGCUCAGCUGUCAUCAAUCACAUGAUGGCUGUGUGCAGACUUUUUUUUGGUUUAAAGAAAUAUCGAUUGUGAGGGACGUUACCUAAUACUUUUGUGAAGAACACAACAUAUAACACGUUGAGGAGAAGAUAAAGAAAUUAACUAGAGAGAGGGUGAAACGCAGGGCUUGUUGAAGGUGACCCACAUACAUACAUAUACGAAGCGGCUGCUGCUGUGAGCGAAAGAUAUCGAACAGCUAAUUGCUAAAAUAAGCGUAUGACCUAGAAAAUUGGCCUUAGUCGGACAUAAGGAAGAGAGUGUAGUAGCCGUAGAAGAGGAUGACGAUGCUUGAGAAGAGGCCAGCCGCACUUGGGACCACGGAGCACAUCGAGAUGGAGAUCUUCGCCUCGGAAGAGUCUCGCGCCGUGGUCUCCGUACAUGAUACCGAGGAGGGCUACUUCGGCUACUAUAGGCACCUAGAGCAUCCUCUGGUGUCCGUUUCUGAAGAGGAGUACCUAGAGGCCCAGGUCCAGAGCCCAGCUGAACAGCAAUUCAAGCUGAAGAGAGUGCUUUCUGUCGGGACAGAGGACUUGGAUGACUGCCCCCUGAUUCCAGACUUAAAGGAGGACAUGGAGAUCGAAAUGGAGGAAUUCCCUCCCUUCAACACGCCCGAGAGUGAGCAAGUUUUAAAAACAUCAGCCCUCCCUUCCUUCAAAACACUACGGUUUCCCGCCGUGGCUUCUCUCAACCAAGUCACCAAAGUCAAAUGGAGCCAAGUAGACCAUCAGAGGACUGGACUGGUAGUUAAAGACGUCAUCUGUCUACCCAGAGGACACCUCCUGGCCCAUCCCGACCGAAAGAACUUUCCUCUGGGGGUUGCCAUGGAAAGAUGUGGUGAGACCCAGCCGGUGGAAGGGAACCUGCCUCCGGAACACAGCCACAAGAUAGAUCUGGACUUCGCCCUGAAGAAGUUCAGACGACACGCCGUGGAUCCGAGCCUCCAUCUCCUGGUCACCCCGAGUUGGAAGGAGCCGCUCCUCAGUGCGUUGAGGAUGUUGGGCAGUCCAGGCUUCUGCUUCAGAGCCUCCCCAGUCAUUUCUUUGUGUGACACAGAGCGAGAAGCUGGCGGACACCAUCUCGACCUCAGAGAGUUCUUCAGCUAAUGUGUGGCCAGAAUGACUUUCUGGACGACUUUGACUGGAGAGACGUUACCGAUCCUGAGGCACAAGUCUGAAUGAAACAGCUUCAGAGUCCUACCAGUUUAGGGCUGUUAUCUGACAGCUCUUGUGACCGGUACAGAAGCUCUGAACUACCAGAGAACGACUCUACUGACCAUUCCUCCAUUUACGCCAGCCUGGUCAAACACUACAUCUACCACAGGGUAGCAAGUACGGCCGCUCAGUUCACAGACGGUUUGGACAGCUGCAGUGGUUUAUGGGAAACGGUGUGUACCAACUGGGAGGCAUUUGCUCCAGUUAUGACCGGCAUGGGACAUAAAACAAGGAGGACUAGUGCAGAUUGCAGCUUAAGAGGUGGAGAAGGAAUCCAAACAUCACCUAACAUCACAUCAAACAAUGGAGUGAUGCUUCACAAGUAUGGAAUAGUAAAAGGUAUAACCAGUUUUGUUUAUGCGUCACUGAAGUGGUAGCAUUUUAAGUACGUAGUAUAUCCAUGAGAAGUAGUGUGAUAAAAGCAUGGUCUACAGACUUAUAAGAAUGCUGUUCCUGAUGUUUAGGGGGUUGACAAUAUUUGUUUUAUAUAAAUGGUCAGACAAAAGUAGAUAACUCUGAAACAAUGAUAAUCCAAUGUCUACAUCUAAAUGCACCAGUUGCAGAUGUCUUCAGAAAAAUUGCAGUGUUCUAAAUCCUAGGGCACAUGGAAAUGUUGUGAUAAAUUUGAUGUUUUAUUUAACAUUUGAAUACACAUUUCAUAUAAUUACAAUUUCAAAUGUACGUAUUUACUAAUGAAAUGCAACCAGGACGGUGUGUCUUCAGUAGUAAUGCAUUAUCUGAAAAUAAAAUUAUAUUUAAAUAUUACAGGCCAUGAUUUUUUUUUUUUUCUUUUGGUGCUUGGUGUUUAUCAAAG
ensembl:lncRNA